rnacentral:rRNA from 1 species
CCUACGGGGCGCAGCAGUCGAGAAUCAUUCACAAUGGGGGAAACCCUGAUGGUGCGACGCCGCGUGGGGGAAUGAAGGUCUUCGGAUUGUAAACCCCUGUCAUGUGGGAGCAAAUUAAAAAGAUAGUACCACAAGAGGAAGAGACGGCUAACUCUGUGCCAGCAGCCGCGGUAAUACAGAGGUCUCAAGCGUUGUUCGGAAUCACUGGGCGUAAAGCGUUCGUAGGCUGUUUCGUAAGUCGUGUGUGAAAGGCGAGGGCUCAACCCGCGGACGGCACAUGAUACUGCGAGACUAGAGUAAUGGAGGGGGAACCGGAAUUCUCGGUGGAGCAGUGAAAUGCGUAGAUAUCGAGAGGAACACUCGUGGCGAAGGCGGGUUCCUGGACAUUAACUGACGCUGAGGCACGAAGGCCAGGGGAGCGAAAGGGAUUAGAUACCCCAGUAGUC